AUUGAACGCUGGCGGCAGGCUUAACACAUGCAAGUCGAGCGAGCGGCGGACGGGUGAGUAAUGUCUGGGAAACUGCCUGAUGGAGGGGGAUAACUACUGGAAACGGUAGCUAAUACCGCAUACCAUCAGAUGUUCCCAGAUGGUAUUAGCUAGUAGGUGGGGUAAUGGCUCACCUAGGCGACGAUCCCUAGCUGGUCUGCGAGGAUGAUAAGCAACACGGGAACUGAGACACGGGCCAGACUCCUACGGGAGGCAGCAGUGGGGAAUAUUGCACAAUGGGCGCAAGCCUGAGGCAGCCAUGCCGCGUGUGUGAAGAAGGCCUUCGGGUUGUAAAGCACUUUCAGCGGGGAGGCGUUACUCGCAGAAGAAGCACCGGCUAACUCCGUGCCAGCAGCCGCGGUAAUUC
rnacentral:rRNA from 1 species